AAGAAGAAAAACCAAGGCCCGCUAUUUUUUGCCACAUGCUCAUGGGACAGAGGGGGUGUUUCUUUGGGAUGAAGUCUGAACAAUGAAGCAGGGCCAGCCUCAUCACUUGAAGAAGUCACCAGGCUCUUUGUUUUCCCGUCCCUGCAAUUUAGCAGAUAGGUCCUCUCCUUCUCUGGAAGAAAUGGUGCCAGGUAUGAGGCAGACCACUGCUGAAGCUCCAGAGAAGAUUCAAUAGCUUCUAGUAUCUGGCAUUUUGGUCACUGCAUUUGGCAAAAUGGCUCUUGAUUUAGCCACAGAAGUGUAAUUUGCUGAUACUCAACCAGGUGAGACUGUUUUUCUCUGUCUAGUUUUGACAUUCUCUCCUCCAGACUGCAUAAAAAUUUCAUUGCCCUUUGAUUUAUAUGAUCACAGGAUUCUCUCUCUCU
rnacentral:lncRNA from 13 species